UACGUAGGGUGCGAGCGUUGUCCGGAAUUAUUGGGCGUAAAGAGCUCGUAGGCGGUCUGUCGCGUCGAAUGUGAAAACCCGGGGCUCAACUCCGGGCUUGCAGCCGAUACGGGCAGACUAGAGUUCGGCAGGGGAGACUGGAAUUCCUGGUGUAGCGGUGAAAUGCGCAGAUAUCAGGAGGAACACCGGUGGCGAAGGCGGGUCUCUGGGCAAUAACUGACGCUGAGGAGCGAAAGCGUGGGGAGCGAACAGG
rnacentral:rRNA from 1 species